CGGACGCUUCUCCCUGGGGGUGUCUCAGUGGGACCGGCAGGCCAGCGCAUGAGCCACCACCCCGACCAGCUUGUGGAAGGCGUGGUGGGCUGGAACAGGAGCUGCUCAGGCAUCCCUUUCUGGAAGGCUGUGGUGCACGGUCCCUGCUUCGGGGUCCUGAUCCUGCAGCCCCUUCUCUUCUCUUGAGAGCCAAUCUGCCCAGCCUCCUGCUGAGUCAGGCCUGGCUCCCCCUGAUAGCUCCAGCUGCAAGAGGC